rnacentral:lncRNA from 1 species
CUCUGUUGUUCCUAGAUUUCAUUCUUCAAUUUUGGAGAACACGAACUCGCGUUUCAGAUACCUAGCAGGUUUGGGAGUUAAAUCUCUUCCCCCUGUAUCACUCUUGCCACAGCCUCCACCUGCUGCAAGAUUAGAGGCAUGAGUGACCACACCUGGUUUAAAUACUUUUGAAAGUGUUUUUGAUGGUGAUGGCCUUUGAAGAGUCUGUCAAAAAAAAAUUCAACCUAAGAAUGCUUUUCUUUUUUUCUCCCUUUAAAUUUUUUUGUUUGUGUUGCAGUGCUAGUCACGGAACCAGGGCUUUCACACGGAGCUACAUCCCUAGGCCUUUUUAGGGUCUUGCUAAACCACUAACUUCCCCAGGCUGGGCUGGAGCUUGAGAUUCUUCUGACUCACCCUCCCACAGUGGCAGGAUUACAGCUAUGUGCUACCUGUGACAAAGCCAUCUUUAAGGCCACUUCAUUCUUUCGACCUGGCUAAUUAACUGGACACAAAGGCUGGGCGGUGCCUCAGGGCCCACUGAGGACACCGAUCCCUGGCCAAGCUGAAUUUCUAACCUAGCCGGAUUUCUAUUCCCAGCAUCCUCAGAGGCUCUUCCUUCUGGCUGCUCUUCCUCCAGGGCGGAGCUGCAGCUUCUCCGGGGCCAAGGCUGCAGGACCUUUUGGGGUGUGGACUUCCAGUGUGGGGUGAAGUGAGGUGAGAGUCUGCAACCCCAGUGACAACAGGAGGCCCCGCUGCUGCUCCUGGCCUCACUUGAGCACUGGGCUUCCUGCUCCUGACGAGAGAUGGAGUCAGCUGAGCUAAUACAGAAGAAAUAAGGAUGGUGGACAGCAGACAAGGAAAUUGCACCACAAUUGUUAGAACAAGCUGCAGAUGCCUGCUGACCAUCAAUAUGUGACCAUCGGCCACUAACCUUUGUCCCCUUUUCUUUGAUAUGUUAACUUCCCCCUCAACCCCCUAUAAAAACAGCCUCGGAUUCUGAGCCAGUUGCCUCUCUAAGCUAUUUUGCUUCGGGAGUGCCGUCUGGCCAGACUAAUAAAGGUCUGUUUCCCAACUUGUCACGGUGUGUUCCUUCCCGGGUGUUUUUCGCUGUAGUCAGCUCCUCGGAGCGUUUGUUAAGGCCCUCGGUCUUACAUUCUGAAGGCACCGCUGGGAUUCCUGGGUGUGCUUCACUAGUCAGCUCCUCGGAGCGUUUGGUAAGGCCCUCGGUCUUACACUAGUUAGUUAAAUCAGCCUACUCAAGUCAAAGAAUUUAUGACUAGAAUAAAUUACUCAUGGCUGAGUCUGAGCUUUUGAAAACAGUUUGAAAUUGUGAGAUUAUCGAGGUACUUCUCUUAGCAGGAGUAGACCGGGAAAUAGUAUAUAAAAUUAUUUGAUUUAUAUUCUGAAC